GAUGAACGCUGGCGGCGUGCCUAAUACAUGCAAGUCGAGCGAACAGACGAGGAGCUUGCUCCUCUGACGUUAGCGGCGGACGGGUGAGUAACACGUGGAUAACCUACCUAUAAGACUGGGAUAACUUCGGGAAACCGGAGCUAAUACCGGAUAAUAUAUUGAACCGCAUGGUUCAAUAGUGAAAGACGGUUUUGCUGUCACUUAUAGAUGGAUCCGCGCCGCAUUAGCUAGUUGGUAAGGUAACGGCUUACCAAGGCAACGAUGCGUAGCCGACCUGAGAGGGUGAUCGGCCACACUGGAACUGAGACACGGUCCAGACUCCUACGGGAGGCAGCAGUAGGGAAUCUUCCGCAAUGGGCGCAAGCCUGACGGAGCAACGCCGCGUGAGUGAUGAAGGUCUUCGGAUCGUAAAACUCUGUUAUUAGGGAAGAACAAAUGUGUAAGUAACUAUGCACGUCUUGACGGUACCUAAUCAGAAAGCCACGGCUAGCUACGUG
rnacentral:rRNA from 1 species